rnacentral:rRNA from 1 species
UACGUAGGGUGCAAGCGUUGUCCGGAAUUAUUGGGCGUAAAGAGCUCGUAGGCGGUUUGUCGCGUCGGCUGUGAAAACUCGGGGCUCAACCCCGAGCCUGCAGUCGAUACGGGCAAACUAGAGUGUGGUAGGGGAGACUGGAAUUCCUGGUGUAGCGGUGAAAUGCGCAGAUAUCGGGAGGAACACCAGUGGCGAAGGCGGUUGCCUGGAGCUUUGCUGACGCUGAUGCGCGAAAGCGUGGGGAGCGAUCCGG